AGAGUUUGAUCCUGGCUCAGGAUGAACGCUGGCGGCGUGCUUAACGCAUGCAAGUCGAACGCACCUUCGGGUGAGUGGCGGACGGGUGAGUAACGCGUGAGAAUCUGCCCUCAGGAGGGGGAUAACGGCUGGAAACGGCCGCUAAUACCCCAUAUGCCGCGAGGUGAAACGAGUUUUCGCCUGAGGAUGAGCUCGCGUCUGAUUAGCUAGUUGGUGGGGUAAGAGCCUACCAAGGCAUCGAUCAGUAGCUGGUCUGAGAGGAUGAUCAGCCACACUGGGACUGAGACACGGCCCAGACUCCUACGGGAGGCAGCAGUGGGGAAUUUUCCGCAAUGGGCGAAAGCCUGACGGAGCAACGCCGCGUGAGGGAUGAAGGCCUCUGGGCUGUAAACCUCUUUUCUCAAGGAAGAAGAUCUGACGGUACUUGAGGAAUAAGCCACGGCUAAUUCCGUGCCAGCAGCCGCGGUAAUACGGGAGUGGCAAGCGUUAUCCGGAAUUAUUGGGCGUAAAGCGUCCGCAGGCGGUCUUGAAAGUCUGUUGUUAAAGCGUGGAGCUUAACUCCAUUUCAGCAAUGGAAACUAGAAGACUAGAGUGUGGUAGGGGCAGAGGGAAUUCCCGGUGUAGCGGUGAAAUGCGUAGAUAUCGGGAAGAACACCAGUGGCGAAGGCGCUCUGCUGGGCCAUAACUGACGCUCAUGGACGAAAGCCAGGGGAGCGAAAGGGAUUAGAUACCCCUGUAGUCCUGGCCGUAAACGAUGAACACUAGGUGUCGGGGGAAUCGACCCCCUCGGUGUCGUAGCCAACGCGUUAAGUGUUCCGCCUGGGGAGUACGCACGCAAGUGUGAAACUCAAAGGAAUUGACGGGGGCCCGCACAAGCGGUGGAGUAUGUGGUUUAAUUCGAUGCAACGCGAAGAACCUUACCAGGGUUUGACAUCCUGCGAAUCCCUUGGAAACGAGGGAGUGCCUUCGGGAGCGCAGAGACAGGUGGUGCAUGGCUGUCGUCAGCUCGUGUCGUGAGAUGUUGGGUUAAGUCCCGCAACGAGCGCAACCCACGUCUUUAGUUGCCAGCAUUCAGUUGGGCACUCUAGAGAGACCGCCGGUGAUAAACCGGAGGAAGGUGUGGAUGACGUCAAGUCAUCAUGCCCCUUACAUCCUGGGCUACACACGUACUACAAUGCUACGGACAAAGGGCAGCAAACUCGCGAGAGCUAGCAAAUCCCAUAAACCGUGGCUCAGUUCAGAUCGUAGGCUGCAACUCGCCUACGUGAAGGAGGAAUCGCUAGUAAUCGCAGGUCAGCAUACUGCGGUGAAUACGUUCCCGGGCCUUGUACACACCGCCCGUCACACCAUGGAAGUUGGCCACGCCCGAAGUCGUUACUCCAACCC
rnacentral:rRNA from 1 species